UCCGAACACAGGUUCCGGAACAGCCGGCCCCGAGCACCCACGUGCAGCUUCCCAUCGCAGCCCUGGCGUGGCUUCUCUGUCCCCGGCUGAGGCCCGCGGCCGCACCCAGCCUCUCCCACCCCAACCCCGCCUUUAAGGGGAGCCCCAGCGACGCCUUGAACCCUGAAAGUCACACUGGGGCCGGGGCUGCACUUGGCGUCCGCUUCCCCUCCCGUCACAGUGACCAGGGCUAGGGCCGCGGUCGAGGCCGUCGGAGAGAGCGGAGGGCGCGUGGGAAUGGGGCUCGCUGCGCCACGGAAACCCCGCGCCGCCCUUCGAGUCCUCCCUCUGCUCCGCAGAGCUGGGGCCGCUGCCAUCGCGUCUGCCCCGAGGGUGCACAGGCAGAUGGACCCGUGUUGGCCCCCCUUAGAUCUGCAGUGAGGGCACCAGGACCUGCGGUGAGCGCCUCCGCGCCCCAAACGCCAGUAGAUCCGCCCGACCACAUUCCCACCUGGCUUGCUUUGCACAAAUGCUGCGUCAGGACAUGCCCCAGACCCACUCCUUCCCAGAUCGCGACCCUCAUGCCUUCGCAGACAGAAAGUGUCCUAAGCACAGGCAGGCUCAGAGCCCGCCUCCGCCUCGGAUUCGCUGUGUGGCCCGGAGCCAGUAUCUUGGCCUCUCUGGGCCUCAGUUUGCUCAUCUCAGUGAAUGGGACACAGACACAGUCGCGCUGCGGCCUAACGCUUUAUUUGCCAUCCAAGACCCCGGGCCCGCCUGGGCUUCUGCUCAGAAGAUCUUCACGGAGUCCAGCUGCACGUCCCCGCCCACCUCCACCAGGCGCACGCGCGCCAGCGGCAGGCGGUGGCGGAAGUGGUGGUACUGGGCGUCCCCAACCACGGCCUGCAGGGGAGGGUCGGUGGUGAGGAUUCCAGAGGCCCAUGAUGGGUGGCCCUGGGGAAAUCACUCAUCCCCUCUGGGCCUCAGUUUCCCCACUGGGAAAAUGGGGCUAUUGUUCAUUCUAACUCUUGCGUGAGAAUCAAACGAGUUUACUGUGUGGCACAGUAAAAAACGGCUUUUUUAGUGCUGG